GAUGAACGCUGGCGGCGUGCCUAAUACAUGCAAGUCGAGCGAACAGAUGAGGAGCUUGCUCCUCUUACGUUAGCGGCGGACGGGUGAGUAACACGUGGAUAACCUACCUAUAAGACUGGGAUAACUUCGGGAAACCGGAGCUAAUACCGGAUAAUAUAUUUAACCGCAUGGUUCAAUAGUGAAAGACGGUUUUGCUGUCACUUAUAGAUGUAUCCGCGCCGCAUUAGCUAGUUGGUAAGGUAACGGCUUACCAAGGCAACGAUGCGUAGCCGACCUGAGAGGGUGAUCGGCCACACUGGAACUGAGACACGGUCCAGACUCCUACGGGAGGCAGCAGUAGGGAAUCUUCCGCAAUGGGCGAAAGCCUGACGGAGUAACGCCGCGUGAGUGAUGAAGGUCUUCGGAUCGUAAAACUCUGUUAUUAGGGAAGAACAAAUGUGUAAGUAACUAUGCACGUCUUGACGGUAACUAAUCAGAAAGCCACGGCUAACUACGUG
rnacentral:rRNA from 1 species